UCCCACUAUGACUCGUCAAUCGUCAUUUCUAAAUCGACCCAGAAAUCAUUGAGGAAAGAAGCUAUUCUCUCUCGCUCUCUUCUCUUCUCCCUCACUAUGCCGCUCCGGUAUCUUCCCUUCUCUAUUUCACUAUCUCUCACUCUCUAUAUAUCUCUCGCCCAACGCAAGGUCUGCAUAAGGGAAGAGGCAAGUCGUCUUCCAUAGAGCUCCUUCAUCGCUGCGUCUUGAAGAACCUUCUCGAACGGCCCCAAACUAACGCAUGAAGCCUCUCAAUUUUCAAACCCAUCAAGGAUCGCCUGAAGCUUCUCAUCUCUUCCCUUCGACGGUGGUUUCCUCUAAUCUUCAAACUCAAGGUCAUCUCUGAUGUAGCCUCGUCAAAGGCCAGGUUUGUGAGUUAUUGAAUUUCUCAAAUCUAACCUAGUUCUCUAGCCUCUGAAGAUUUGCCUGCUACAAGAUUCCAAUCGCUGCUGUCACGGUAUGAGUUACCCUUCUCUGAACUCAAAUAUCUAAAAUAUGCGAAGCCCUAAAAUAUGGGGAUUUCGGGAUAGGCUUACGAUUUAGGGCUUGUCUAGGGUUUUUAUCUGAAGCUCUGUCUCCUUUCUCUAAUCUACAUUUGAUUUAGGGCUUGUCUGAUUUGUGGUCUUGAUUUCUGUUCUCACCCUUGAACUGCAAGCUUUUCACCCUUGAAUUCCAUUUUUCUAAAUGCAUGCAAGGGCUGUUAAGGAGAAAAUUAUUUUCAUGAUUUUACCACCUUUACUGAAUGAAGUUCUUGAAAUAGAAGGGGGUGAGUGGUUCCCUGCAUAAAAAAAUUGGGUGGGGGUACAUUUUACUCUUAACUUUUGCAGGAAAUUUAUAUAUGUUGAUCUUCAAAGUGUUACAGAGAACAUCCAGAUGAUGUUGUGAUUUAUUUUAUAGUGAUAACUGAACAUACCUAUAGCUUUGACAAAGGGAAGAGUAGUAUAUGAAUUAGAACCCCUCUAGCCUCUUGGCUUUCUCUGUUGUAGCAUCCCCUAGAGCCCUCUUCCCUGCAGGUAUGGUUAAGCAACACAAAUAACCACCAGGUUGAUAGCCAAUGUUAUAGGAAGUAUGGGCUUUAGGCAUCAUCAUAACCUUAUGGAAGCAACAGAACUUAGAGUGUCAAUGUUCAUGAGGAAUUUUUUUUUUUUGCGUGAAGGUUCAUGAGGAUUUUCAGACCUCAGUUAUCCUCAAAAUCUGCAAGUUAGUUGCAGAGGUACUUUUAAGAAUCUUGAACCUAGGGUGAGGGAUUUGCCCCUGGUUUUUGUCGUUCAUCCUCUUUAAUAUUUUUAUUAAUUAUGAUUCUAGAAAUUUGCUGGAACUUUUUGUUGAUACCUCUGUCACUUUUUUAUUGUUUCUGUUUCUACAUUUGUUUUCUGUUUGCAUGUGCUCACUGCUGGCCCAUGUUUUUUUUUCUAUGGAUUUGGUGGCAUUUUAAAAAGGAAAAAAGGUACUUUCUGUGGAAAUAAUUUAUGGUUAUGUCAUUGGUGAUUUGGAAGGAUUGGUCUUCAAUCUGCAUGAUUUGCACAUCUUUCCUAUGGUCCUUGGUGAGGUGUAAAGGCCAUAUAUGCCCUCAUGAAGGGAGGAUGCAAAGGAGGUCAAGUUUGGGGAGGAGUUUGAGGGGGCAGUGCUUGAGAGACACUCAGCACCAGGGGGGUUGCAUAUGAUAGUGAUAAGGAUACGCUUGCUGAUGUGGAGACAGAAGCAGACGGGAAAGAGACACUACAUGCUAAGGCAGCCAACAAAGUUGCACAUUGGCAGGAGUAGGAUAAAGGCAGGGAAUUCAAGGAGCUGGUUCUUCAAGCAUACUGUGACAUGGCCAUCUCUGUGAUACAAUCAGAGGAAUGGUUCCAUUGGCGGCAACAAUCUUCUAGUGGUUUUAAGUCUCCUUGGAAAUCUAUGUGGUAUUGACAUUGGUGUACUAUUAAAUGGUUAUUCUUCUUCUUCAUUCUUAAUACAUAUUUCAAUUUCUUUUAUUGAAUGCAUGCUGGUAGUGCUAAAUUAUGGGUAAAUAGUCUAGACAUGGUAGGCUAUGACAUACACUAGCAACCUCCUAAAAUCAUGCUACGACAUACACUAGAAGCCUCCUAAAAUCAUGCUUAAAUAGUCUUGCUAAAAUUGAUGUCACUAUACAUGGCCAGUUGAAUCAAAUGUUUGACUGCUUAAAUGGUUAAUUUAAUUUUUUGACUGAAAUGUACCAUAUCUCCACUGAAUUUUUUGUAAUUUUACAGUACAUUUCAGUUUCGACUAGGGUAAUCACUAACCUUGAUGUCACUAUACAUGGUCAAUUGAAUCUAACUGGAUAGUAACCUCACCUAAUCAUUGUUAUAAGGGUGAAAACUAUUUCGGAUGGACUUAAAAAAAGAUUUGUUGUUUGAAAGUGGUUGUUAGUUUUAAACUUUUAAAUUUAGUAUGUUCCUGGAAUGUACAUUAGUUUCUUUUUUCCCGUCAUGAUCUUGUUGGUCUGCAAGAUUUAAGAAAUUAGGUCCAUUGUGGACGUAAAUUUAUAGCUUGUGCUUCUUGUAUAACAUGUCCAGGGUUCCAAAGCUGCCAUGGACCAUAUGCUUACAGUAUCGAAGGAUCACAUCCAAGUGCAUCUUCUUAUAUAUAAUUUUGUGCUGAUAUAAUGCAGGACAUGCAAUUUUCUCACAAUUUUUAUUAGAGACCUUGCAAUAAUCAUUAUGGUUGAAUUGGUAGGGACCAAGGGAAUUUUAUGAUGGACCUCUUAUCAAAUGCAUCAAUUCACAUGUUUCAGUUGAAAAGUUGAUGCCCUGGAGAACAAUUAAAUGUGGCUUCAUAUUUAAACGAAGUUGCUUUGUUGCUGUUAAAGAAUAGACCCUGUAUACUAUGGGGGUACAAUUUUAUGUCUACCACAAUAUGGGGGAUUGUAAGAGUAUUGAUUCUGCUACUCUCUUAACAGUCUCUCCCUCUUCUUUUUCUUUCUCUUUCAUCUCUCUUCUACUGCAGUUACUGGUUACAGAUCCUGGUUUGCCACAGUUGCUCUAGCAACCAUGGCUGUAGGGUAUGAAACUCAGUUUUGAAUUUUAACUUAGUAACAUCUGGGUACACUGAUGCUGUUCUAUUAGGGGUGAGGAUCAGUAACUUCAGCUCCAUCAAGUCCUUUUGAUAUGGUGUCUUUUCAUUUUUAUCCUUAUUAAUCCCAGUUUGAGAUGGUCUAAAAUGGGUAAAGACUAAAAGCCUCAGACUGACCUGUAGAAACUACGUAGUUCCGUUGGGUUUUAAGUUGUCAUUGAGCUUUUUUUGGUGGAUGCAACUUUGAAAAGCAAUGAUGAUUCAACCUUAUGCCAAUCCAAUGUUGAAAUCUUCACAGCCAUUAAAGAGAAACAGGCAAGUUAGAAAUGUUGGGGCACAAUUGCCAUUAUAGGCAUAUAUAUAGCUAAAAUAAUGGUUUAAAGGUACUCACUGGUACUGUUGGGGAUUUGAAGGAUAUGUUCCAUUAUUUACGAACUAAGAUAUUUUCUACGUUUCUUGGAUUCCGUUGUGUUUGGUUUCUGAUAGUUGUUUCCUACAAGAUAACUGGUAACUUUUGAAAUUUUAAUGCUUCAAGUGACACUUAUCUGGACCUCCAUUUUAAUUUCUUUUCUUAUUUUCCUUCUUUUUUUUAUUUCUUCUUUUUGGUGGGGAUAUGGUUGUUGGUUAGUUCUUCACCUCAGUUCAGCCUUUGAUAAGCCCAAGAACACAGUUUAUUGAUCUUUAAUCUUCUGAGGUGUUCUUAAAAUCCACUAGAUGGGUGAAUAUUCUUAUGUUCUUGUUUAUCGAUGAACAUGCACUCUUGGCUCAAUAUUUUUUUCUGUAUUUUUGUUAUAUAUUGUUGACUGUAAUAUAUGUAAGCAUUUCUCAGGGUUUUCCCUUAUUUAUUUAUUUUUUUUGGACGGCCUGGCCCUGAGAUUAUGAGGAGUUCCCUCGUAAUGUAGUAAUUCAAAUGUGUUUCAUUACAGUUUUUAUUAAGGUUUUUUGUCCAUUUAUUUGGGAUCAUGUGCUAACUGAACUCAACUGAGCUUAUCUCUUCUACAUGGGGGUUGGCAGCAAAAAUUCACCAUUCAACCUUGAUUAGGUUAAUAUUCUGGUUACUCAUUAUCAUUUGUCUUUAUCACCACUUCAAUCCAAGACAUUUUGGGUGCCUACUAACUCCUCCAACUUUUACCAUGCCACCUCUUGCUGUUGCACUCAUUGGUCUUAUUUGCACAUGGCUGAACCAUCUCUCACUUUCCCUUUUCAUCACUUAUAAUGAUUAAAUUUCCUUGACUACACUUAUUUCUGAUUCUAUCACAUCCUUAGACUCAGCACUAAUCAAUCUCAGUAUUCUCAUGUUAACAAUGCGUAUUAUAUAUUUACACUAAAAUUUAUGGAAUUUGGAUAUAUUAUGUGUUCAUUUUCUUAUUUCUAAUUCUGUGUUGUGUGUGCAUGUGUGUGUAUUAUUUCUUGCCCUCCUCUUCAAAUCAGGUUGGGAUGCCUGUGAACUUGAGAGACUGUGUCUUAACCAGCCAUAGUGGUGAAGAGGUAUAUGAGGGGACAAAAGGUCUCAAGGGUAACCGAUAUGGGACCAUUCUCCCAACUGUAGAGGAGAGGAAAGAAAUCAACAGAAUCAAUCUGGUGAUGUAAGUAAACAUCUUGUAUGGAAACAUAGGUAAUUUUUUCUCCUCCUUGCUUAUCUAGUAUUUUUCUUUCCUCUCUUAUCUCAACAUAUCUUCUUUACUGAUAUUAAGAUUCUGUUUCAUUUUUAGUAUUAUUCAUCCCUAUAUUUCUUGAACUACUAGAAUGGUAGAAAAUUUCCUAGAACUAUUCCUAUUAUAUUUUCCCCAUAAUUAGCCCAUUUACUUUGUGAUUUUUGCCAUGUCCAAGCAUAUUGCCACUUCUAAAAAUUUCAUGAAAAUUUCUUGUGCUAGUGUAUCCAAUCGAACCACAUUCUUCCAUUAAGAAUUCAUUCCUCUUCAGUCAUAUCACAGAUCUAAAAGUUGAUCUUAAUACUUAAUAGUAAUUGUCCCGACCUAUUGCUAUUUUCAGAUUUCAGCAUGAAUCUGAAUUCUGUUUAAAACCAGAAUGAACAAAUGCAAUUCCCUUGGUUUUAUACAAAAAUUUCAGUCCUUCUAAUUCCCACAUUAAUAUCUUUUCCUUAAGCUAAAAUCUGAAAUCUAAUUUUCUGUAGUUAUAAGCUACCAUGGCUGUAGUGCUUCAGUUGAUCAUAUUGGAUUGUGUAUGGUUUAGUGUAAAUGCAAAGUCUUACCAUCCAGAUCUUAAAAUUUGCUGCAUAAUGUGGUCUAGAAUGUGGGUCAUUCUUGAUUUAUUUUUUGUAAUAUUCUCUUUGCUGGUAAGAUAGUCUUUCCUUUUUCUGGUGUGAGUUCUUGUGCUAGAUUUUUGAACCUGUUAGGUCCAUGAUAUCUAUCUACUUGUUUUGCAGUUUGUAUCUGUAGCUUUUCCAUUAAAUAUUCUUUAACUGCCUGUUGAUUGUGAAUUUUUCCAUUAACUUGAGUUACUACUGCUGAUCUGGCCUUAUUUUUUGUGUAAAAAGGAACCUACCUUGGUCGCCUUGGCGGAACCAAGGAUUUUUUCCCCUCCCUUUGUUGUUAUUCCCUCUCUUAGUGUUUAAAACAAUAAGAUACUAGAAUCUACGUGGUAUGAACUAUGCACAUCUAGGCGACCAAGGUGACGCCUAGGUCCCCGGCCAACGCCUUGUGUUUCAGAGAUGACAAUGGUAUUUUGCUGAUACCUACGUAGCUGGAUAUCAAAUGAAGAAAUAUUAGUUAUUUACUGACAUUUCUUAGUCGAUUAUUUCACUUCUUUAAUUAAUUUUGUUAAUGACCAUGGGGGAAGUGAAAAUUGAUAAACCCUAGUUUAGAAAUUUUUUUUCCUAAUUUCUUGUAUCGAAAUAGUCUUAGGAGAGGAUCAUUGGACCAGAUAGUUGCAUAUUCCCUACAAGUUUGUUUUCUUGUAAUGCCUUUGUUAGAUGCUUGCAAUUCCACGCCUUUUUGUACUCAUAAUGUGACAUCUAUAGUUUGUUUGAUGAAUUCUAUCUUAACAGGAUGAUGGAUUCCGGUUUGACCUCAUGGGUCAUAUAAUGAAAGUACCGUGGUAUGUAGUUCUCUUUGGCUAAUCUCUUUAGGCUUAAGAAGGUUUGCCUCAAAAGUUACAGUUUGAAAAAUGUACUUUGCUUCUACCAUUUUAUCCCUUGCAGUUCCGUAAGAACCCACAAAUUCACUUAGUGGUUCUAGCUGCUAGAACUUAUAGUUUUGAUACUUUUUGUUUGCACUGCUAAUCCUUUCUUAUGCUUAGAUGUUGUCUUGAAAAUUUUGAGGUGUCUCUUUCACAUUUAAUUCAUAUAGGAUGGAUAUAUUAUCACAGUAGUCCUCACACUUUCAUUUCAGAAUGUUAUUGAAACAAAUCAGGAUCUGAAACCAGUAGCUGCAAAUAGAAGAGAGAAGAGAGGAAGAGAGACAGAGGGAGCAAUUUCUGAGCCACGAUAGAUUCACUUUGUGUACUAUCUUUAUUAAUAAUAUUUAGUUAGCAAGUAAUGUACUUUUAAGUAGGAAUUCUUCUAAGAGUAGAUGUCUUUACAAUGAAGGUUCUAAGAGUAGAUGUCUUAGUACAAUGAAGGGAAUAAAAUAAAAAGACUAUUCUAAGAGACUCAAUUCAUUGCAUGAUAACAAAGAAAAUACUGGAUCGGCCAUAUUUAAACAAAUCUAGGUAAAUUUUCUCCAGUAACAUCAAUAACAACAAUCACUCUAUGCAAUACCAAUUUUAAAAAAUUGCACCCCCAAAUUGAUGUCAUCUAGGGUCCAAAACUCUUAAUUGGGUUCUAUGGGUCGUAAAAUGACUGAAGGGUUGUGGCAUUUGUGUUAGUGUCGGCAGGUUCUAGAUCGUUUGAAAGAAUGUUGUCUGCAAUCUGGGAAUAGAUUUCUUCCAUUUCAGGAAAAUGAACGAAUAGCCUCCUGUGCCACGGUUGCCGUCCACACCGAGCACGAACUUGCUCUAAAUGAAAGUGUGAAUAGACUUUCAUUACCUCAUGCUGUUGUAGAUGGGAUUCAGGAUUGGCGUGGGGGUUUUACUCUGGUUCUGGCGAAACACAAUUAUAAUGAAGGAAUUGAAAAACUGCAAUUAAACUCAAUAUUCAAGGUGGUACAUGGUAAAUCAAAGGAGAAAGGACACAUAGGGUAUCGGGAUUUAUUAAUUGGGGAUAGACUUGAAGGGGUUUUGAUACUGAGGACAAAGGAGAAUAAAAGAAUAUAGGAGGGGGCACAAAUGGAACUCAAUUAAUAAAAUAAUGGAUAAAAAGAAUAAAACAAGGAAAGAAGUACUUAAAAGAGGGUAACUUGACUAUCUACACCUUUUCAGUUAUGAAAUCAAUAAUCCUAGUGAGAGGGAUUGAACAGAUGGCAGUAAGAGACCAACCAAUCAUGGGUCUGUUAGAGAGCACGUUCUAAGUGUACUUUGGGCAUUCGGUUAUUAUGCUGUAUGUGCAUCUACUUUUAUGCCUUAUAACUACCCUUGGCUAUCUUAUGUUAGCAUGGAGCGUAGAUAAACAAUUUCCUGUAUGAGGCUGAGUGCAUCAAUAUAGGGGGAGAGAAAUCUAUUCUCUCACACAACACAUUAUCAUCAAUAUAGGGGGAGAGAAAUCUACCUCCUACUUUCAUCUUCUCUCUACCUCUCUUGUACUUUUGCAACUCUUAUAUUCCAACUUGGUGUUAGUGCCCACAGUUUUGGUUUGAGAGUGGUGCUACAAGUUCUUCAUAGUUGGUACUAGUAUUGAUGGAUGCCUGUUAGUUACAAUAAAAUAAAAUUAUCAUGUUAAAGAAUCAGAUUGUGAAUUGGAUUUGUGAGUUGUCAACCAUACAUAACUGUGUGGAUGGUUUAUUCCUCGACUUGUUAAUAAUAUAUAUUUUUUCCAUUUUUAUAUAAGGGAAGGCAGAAAGUUCUGUCCAAAGUAUAUCAAAAGAAAAUAUUGGCAUAUAUGGUUCUAAGAUCUAAAUAUAGUGAAUUGUGGGAUUUUGGUGAAGUUGCAAAAAUGGGCGUUAGGUAAAUGCAUCACAGUUCAAUAUUUAUGGGACUGGAAUUGAGCUAUAUCGGUCUUUUGUAUGUUCUUGACAUUUUACUUAUUGGCAUAUAAUAGGAAGCCAAUCAUUAAAAGUUUGGACUCGCUUCCUAAAUAUAUUUAUUUGCACUCAACUCAACCAUAUUUAUUUUAAGCUAAUAAAAAGGAAACAUAUUAGAAACUUAGGCUCUGUACUGUAACGAUUCUGUUUUUUUAACAUGAUUUUGGGUCU